GGAGAUGUACCCAAGUGGUUGAAGGGUCUGCACUCGAAAUGCAGUAGGUCGGCUCAAACCGGCGCCAGAGUUCAAAUCUCUGCAUCUCCGCCA
rnacentral:tRNA from 1 species